AUUAGUUUUGUCAGGUAUAGUAAUGAGAAUUAUUUAAUAAUUGUGAUUUUUAAAAUUUUAUUUAUUUUUAUUUUUUGGUGUCCUGGGUGGGCAUGAAAAUUAUGAUUUUUUUAAAAUCCUUAUCUGUUAUAAGUAAAACGAAAAAAGUAAAGUACACUCACAUUAAUGUUUACAAAUGCAUGUACAUAUUUUAUAUGUGUAGAGAUUCAUGGAAGGGGCUGCAGGAAGCCCAGGAAUUCAUUCCUGCCACCACCACCACCACUACCACCUAAGUGCUCAAUCAAUAUUGAUUGACUCAGUGAUAUCAUUCCCGGAACCAAGAGUGUGAAUUCCCCACAAGCUCCCUGACCUUGGGAGGCAGCCUCUGUGUGCUCUGUCAGCAGUGCCUGGCAAUUGGCUUAUGCUUUCAGUCAACACUUGAGGACCCCACCCAGUCAGCACCACCAGUGCUAAGAAGUGAAGGAGUGUCAGGGUGGAGAGCUGGGAAGAACCCUAUGGGAAACCGGGAGGGUAGCAAGCAGCGGGCUGCUCCACAAACCCCAGAGGAGAAAGGGGACAUGUUGGUGCCAGAAAUUCCCUCUUGCAUCCCACCUCUGGCUGCAGAUGCUGGUGUGAGGUCACCUCUGGACUCAGUCACUUGUUCUGUGACAUCUUCCCCACCCAGUCUCCCUUGUGUAGCACAGUCCUGCCAUCCUCACUCCUGGCUCCUAUUGUGUGUACAGAAGUCCUAUUGGGGAGUUGGUGGAGCCAGACGUUAGGAGAAGAGGAGGCAAAUAGGAUUUAUGGGAUAUUUGCCUUUUCUAAGAACUGUCCCCUGCUUAUGUCAACCUAGGCUCAAAGUACGGAGGUCAAAUAACAGGGAAGCAAUGCUCACUACUAGAAGCUAGCUGGGACCAAGGCUGAGUCUGGCUACAGGUGGUGGGGACUGGUCAGGGUCAUCUUUGGGGGCCAUCUUGCAAACAGACUUCUUCCUAGGGCUCAGGGAGGACAAUGAUGAAGGGGCAGCAGUGAAAUGGCUUGGGUAGGAGUGCAUAGUCUGCAGGAACUGUCUCCAAGUCACCAGUGGACAUUCUCUGGUGAAGCCUCUGCCCUUCACUCCUAGCUUCCUUCUCCUCUUAAAGCCCUGACUGAAGCAGACACUGAGCUCCUUCCCUAGGCACCUGCAAGUGGGCGCAGGGUGUGAGGAUGAUGUUCCCACCAAGACUGCUUAGUGCAUUUUCUCAUCAGUAGGAGCUGCUUGGUGGGGGUGGUGGCAUGGGGAGCAUCAUUUGUCCUCUAGAACUGGACCCCUCAGGCCUCUCAGAGGCAGCAUGUUGUGAAGAAUUUCAUGCCAGGAUUCCUGGGCUCUGUCUGAUCCUGGGCCAUUGACUAACCCACUGUGUGAUGUGCCAAGUCACUUCCCCAAUCUGAGCCUCAGUUUCCUCCCUUGUUAACUGAAGGGUUGUGUUAAACAAUCUUAAGGACUCUUUCGGCACUUAAUAUUUUCCUUACUUACAAAGUGAUUGUGUACGUGGCUUGUUGUGAGGAUUAGAGAUGAUUCAUGUCGAAAUUAUACUUGGUGCAGAAAAUAUGUCACCUUCAAAAAUCCUAGGAUCCUUCCCUCUGGGAAAUGGGUAACCUAAGUCCAUUCCUCCCUAAACAGCGGCAUAAAGAGUAGCUUGAGUCAGAUACCAUGAACAAUAUUUAUUACCCAAAGCACUUUGAAAGAUUGAGGCACAAGGACAUGGCUUUCCCAAGUUACAAGAAAAUCAGAACCUCUUCAAACUCACCCUCCACCUGCAGCCAAAGUAAGGGAUUAAAGGUCAUAGUUCAAGCUAUGUCAUGGCUACUAUAUCCUCAUUCUUGAUGAAUAAUCUUGAAGUCACAAAUGGGCAUGAUGUGAUUUUGAUCCAAAUCUUACCAGGAAAAAACCCACCAUGAAAAUAAAACAAGUUCAUAGAAAUCAUUCCAACAGAAAGAUAC